GGGGUGGGGCUGCCGCGCGGCAAAAAAAAAAAGAAAAAAAAAAGGAAAAAAUAGCAGAUGGCGGCGGCAAUUAGAGAUCCCAGGCAGCAUCUUCCAGCAGGAGACCCCACUGCGGCACCGGGAGACGCCACCUGGAUAACUCAAGGCAGAUAAUAAGGCUAAACAGCAACGGCUACCAUCAGCUUCUUUCCGCUCUGACGCGACUUGACGAAGCGCAGAACGAGCAGUCCAAAGCUGAGGCCAAUUUUGCAAAGCUCUCGACGGGGACGGACGGGGAGCUGACAUCAUUAUCUUUUGUCUUUUUUUGUUGUUGUUUUUUUGUCUUGAAACAGAAACACAGGCGAGGGGGGAGCGUGUCGAAAACGCGUCCUGUGCACGAGUCUCGGCCAAUCCGAUAGUCUUCAAAUAAACAGUCGGCUAACCUGUAAAUAAACAGUUGCGGUCGAGAGGGUUGGGCUUUGCCCUGGGAGCUUGGCAGGGCUCGAACACGACACACACACACACACACACACACACACACACACACACACACACACACACACACACACAGACACAAGGCUGUUCCAGAAACAACAUUUCUUGGCACCCUUCGCUCUUGCCACUUGUUUAAAUAAGCAAACGUGAAGGAAGUGAAAAUACAGUCUGAAUGCCAUUAUCUCCUGUUGCUUGGCAAGAAAGGAGGAAACAAAAAAAAA